AUGGCCGCCGCGAGUUUCAUCAAGGCGCCCGCCGGGCAGAAUCCCAGGCUGGCAAUCCACGCUCCGGGGAGGGGCGCCCGCGUGGUCAGGUGCUCGCUUGGCGCGGCCGUCGGCGGCCGGACCGAGUGGCUCAGCAGCUGCGCCGUGCUCUCCAGCAAGGUGGCCGCGCUCGGCCCCCACUCCGUCAACGGCCACGCCGCGCCGGCGCCGGUCCCCAACGGGGCGGUGCUCGAUUUGAUCCCCGUGAGCGGUGUUAACGGCGCCGCCAAGAACCUGCCGGCGCCGCUGCGGAUCGCUGACCUGUCUCCGGCGCCGAUGCACGGCUCGGAGCUGCGCGUGGCGUACCAGGGCGUGCCGGGCGCGUACAGCGAGAAGGCGGCCGGCAAGGCCUACCCGGGCUGCGACGCCAUACCCUGCGACCAGUUCGAGGUGGCGUUCCAGGCCGUGGAGCUCUGGAUCGCGGACCGGGCCGUGCUCCCCGUGGAGAACUCGCUCGGCGGCAGCAUCCACCGCAACUACGACCUCCUGCUCCGCCACCGCCUCCACAUCGUCGGCGAGGUGCAGCUCCCCGUGCACCACUGCCUCCUCGCGCUCCCGGGCGUGCGCAAGGAGAACAUCACCCGCGUCAUCAGCCACCCGCAGGCGCUGGCGCAGUGCGAGCACACCAUCACCCGCAUGGGCCUCAACGUCGUCCGCGAGGCCUUCGACGACACCGCCGGCGCCGCCGAGUACGUGGCCAACAACGGCCUCCGCGACACAGCCGCCAUCGCGUCGUCCCGCGCCGCCGAGCUGUACGGCAUGGAGAUUCUCGCCGACGGCAUCCAGGACGACUGCGGCAACGUGACCCGGUUCGUGAUGCUGGCCAGGGAGCCCAUCGUGCCGCGCACGGACCGGCCGUUCAAGACCAGCAUCGUGUUCGCGCACGACAAGGAGGGCACCUCCGUGCUCUUCAAGGUGCUCUCCGCCUUCGCCUUCCGCGACAUCACCCUGACCAAGAUCGAGAGCCGGCCGCACCGCCACCGCCCCAUCCGCCUGGUGGACGACGCCAACCGCGGCACGGCGAAGCAUUUCGAGUACAUGUUCUACGUGGACUUCCAGGCGUCCCUGGCGGAGCCGCGGGCGCAGAACGCGCUGGCCGAGGUCCAGGAGUUCACGUCGUUCCUGCGGGUGCUCGGGAGCUACCCGAUGGACAUGACCCCUAUGACCGCCGGCUCCUCCUCCACCGUCACAUCGUCCGACUCGUAG
rnacentral:rRNA from 1 species